UCGGUUUGUUUGAUGUUACAGCCAAGGGUCUGUAGCUCAGGUGGUUAGAGCACCGUCUUGAUAAGGCGGGGGUCGUAGGUUCGAGUCCUACCAGACCCACCAAGUUACGGGCGGCGGAGAGCGAUCUUGCCGUGAACUGGGGGAUUAGCUCAGCUGGGAGAGCACCUGCUUUGCAAGCAGGGGGUCGUCGGUUCGAUCCCGUCAUCCUCCACCAACACCUUGUGGUAGCCAAACGCAAGCAUCGAGAGAUCGGUGUUUGCGUUUGGCAUUGCCAAGACGAGUAGUAACUCGGCUGUUCUUUAACAAUAUGGAAUGUAGUAAAGGUGUCGCGGCGCGUUGAUGAGGCGCGCAAUUUAAACGCGACACUGGGUUGUGAUUGUAUCAACCAGUAUUACGAGUGAUCGAAAGACCGCUUGGAAUACGGCACAACGCGAGAACUCAGCCUAUAGCGAGACAUACUCGUUAUAGGGUCAAGCGAAUAAGUGCAUGUGGUGGAUGCCUUGGCGAUCACAGGCGAUGAAGGACGUAGUAGCUUGCGAAAAGCUGCGGGGAGCUGGCAAACGAGCUUUGAUCCGCAGAUGUCCGAAUGGGGAAACCCGGCCCGUAUGGGUCAUCCCUUGCUGAAUACAUAGGCAAGGGAGGCGAACGCAGUGAACUGAAACAUCUAAGUAGCUGCAGGAAAAGAAAUCAACCGAGAUUCCCAGAGUAGUGGCGAGCGAAAUGGGAACAGCCUUGUACUCUUUAGCAGUAUUGUUAGCGGAACGGAAUGGAAAGUCCGGCCAUAGUGGGUGAUAGCCCCGUACGCGAAAACAGUAUUGUGGAACUAGGUGUACGACAAGUAGGGCGGGACACGUGAAAUCCUGUCUGAAGAUGGGGGGACCAUCCUCCAAGGCUAAAUACUCGUGAUCGACCGAUAGUGAACCAGUACCGUGAGGGAAAGGCGAAAAGAACCCCGGGAGGGGAGUGAAAUAGAUCCUGAAACCGCAUGCAUACAAACAGUCGGAGCCUGGAAACGGGUGACGGCGUACCUUUUGUAUAAUGGGUCAGCGACUUACAUUCAGUGGCAAGCUUAACCGAUUAGGGAAGGCGUAGCGAAAGCGAGUCCGAAUAGGGCGUUCAGUCGCUGGGUGUAGACCCGAAACCAAGUGAUCUAUCCAUGGCCAGGUUGAAGGUGCGGUAACACGUACUGGAGGACCGAACCCACUAACGUUGAAAAGUUAGGGGAUGAGCUGUGGAUAGGGGUGAAAGGCUAAACAAACUUGGAAAUAGCUGGUUCUCUCCGAAAACUAUUUAGGUAGUGCCUCGUGUCUCACCUUCGGGGGUAGAGCACUGUCAUGGUUGGGGGGUCUAUUGCUGAUUACCCCGCCAUAGCAAACUCCGAAUACCGAAGAGUGCAAUCACGGGAGACAGACAUCGGGUGCUAACGUCCGGUGUCAAGAGGGAAACAACCCAGACCGCCAGCUAAGGUCCCUAAGAUGGCUAA
rnacentral:sRNA from 1 species